rnacentral:rRNA from 1 species
AUUGAACGCUGGCGGCAUGCCUAACACAUGCAAGUCGAACGGUAACAGCAGAGCUUGCUCUGGCUGACGAGUGGCGGACGGGUGAGUAAUGAAUAGGAAUCUGCCUAGUAGUGGGGGACAACUACCGGAAACGGUAGCUAAUACCGCAUACGCCCUACGGGGGAAAGCGGGGGAUCUUCGGACCUCGUGCUAUUAGAUGAGCCUAUUUCUGAUUAGCUUGUUGGUAGGGUAAUGGCCUACCAAGGCGACGAUCAGUAGCUGGUCUGAGAGGAUGAUCAGCCACACUGGGACUGAGACACGGCCCAGACUCCUACGGGAGGCAGCAGUGGGGAAUAUUGGACAAUGGGCGCAAGCCUGAUCCAGCAAUGCCGUGUGUGUGAAGAAGGCCUGCGGGUUGUAAAGCACUUUCAGCAGCGAGGAAAUGCUCAAGAUUAAUACUCUUGAGUCUUGACGUUAACUGCAGAAGAAGCACCGGCUAACUCCGUG